rnacentral:rRNA from 1 species
CCUACGGGAGGCAGCAGUGGGGAAUAUUGGGCAAUGGAGGCAACUCUGACCCAGCAACGCCGCGCGAAUGAUGAAGGUCUUCGGAUUGUAAAGUUCUGUGAUGGGGGAUGAACACAAUGACGGUACCCCAAUAGCAAGCCACGGCUAACUACGUGCCAGCAGCCGCGGUAAUACGUAAGGAGCAAGCGUUAGCCGGAAUGACUGGGCGUAAAGGGUGCGUAGGUGGUUUAGUAAGUUGGCGGUGUAAUUCCGGGGCUCAACCUCGGCGCUACCGCCAAAACUAUUAGCCUAGAGUGCAUGAGGGGUAUGUGGAAUGCGGAGUGUAGCGGUGGAAUGCGUAGAUAGUAGGAGGAACAUCAGGGGCGAAGGCGACUUACCGGACUGUAACUGACACUGAGGCACGAAAGCGUGGGGAGCAAACAGGAUUAGAUACCCGAGUAGUC